rnacentral:rRNA from 1 species
UAAUACGGAGGGUGCAAGCGUUGUUCGGAAUUAUUGGGCGUAAAGGGCGUGUAGGCGGCCUCGUAAGUCUGAUGUGAAAGCCCCGGGCUCAACCUGGGAAGUGCAUUGGAAACUGCGAGACUUGAGUACGGGAGAGGGCAGUGGAAUUCCUAGUGUAGGAGUGAAAUCCGUAGAUAUUAGGAGGAACACCGGUGGCGAAGGCGGCUGCCUGGACCGAUACUGACGCUGAGACGCGAAAGCGUGGGGAGCAAACAGGAUUAGAUACCCUGGUAGUCCACGCCGUAAACGAUGAGUACUAGGUGUUGCGGGUAUUGACCCCUGCAGUGCCGCAGCUAACGCAUUAAGUACUCCGCCUGGGAAGUACGGUCGCAAGACUA